UAGAGUUUGAUCAUGGCUCAGAACGAACGCUGGCGGCGUGCUUAACACAUGCAAGUCGAACGGAUUUUACCUUCGGGUAAAGUUAGUGGCGCACGGGUGAGUAACGCGUGGGUAAUCUGCCUAUCAGUGGGGGACAACUUGGAGAAAUCCAAGCUAAUACCGCAUACGAUCUAAGGAUGAAAGUGGGGGAUCUUCGGACCUCACGCUGAUAGAUGAGCCCGCGUCUGAUUAGCUAGUUGGUGAGGUAAUGGCUCACCAAGGCGAUGAUCAGUAGCUGGUCUGAGAGGAUGAUCAGCCACACUGGAACUGAGACACGGUCCAGACUCCUACGGGAGGCAGCAGUGGGGAAUUUUGCACAAUGGGCGAAAGCCUGAUGCAGCGACGCCGCGUGCGGGAAGAAGGCCUUCGGGUUGUAAACCGCUUUCAACAGGGAAGAAGGGAUGAGAGUUAAUACCUCUCUGACUUGACGGUACCUGUAGAAGAAGCUCCGGCUAAUUUCGUGCCAGCAGCCGCGGUAAUA
rnacentral:rRNA from 1 species